rnacentral:rRNA from 1 species
UACGUAGGGUGCGAGCGUUGUCCGGAAUCAUUGGGCGUAAAGCGCGUGUAGGCGGGCCGGCACGUCGGCUGCUGAAAUCCCACGGCUCAACCGUGGAACUGCUGGGUAUACUGGUUGUCUUGAGCCAGCUAGGGGCGAGCGGAACAGACGGUGGAGCGGUGAAAUGCGUAGAUAUCGUCUGGAACGCCGAAGGUGAAAACAGCUCGCUGGGGCUGCGCUGACGCUGAGACACGAAAGCCAGGGGAGCGAACGGG